rnacentral:snRNA from 1 species
AAGCGUGUUAACUGAAUGUGAGGCCUUGUUCUGAAGACCCUUUUCACAAUUUUUGGCAGGCUUAACCGAAGUUAGGCCUU